GCUAUUUAUUUGAAAAAUAAUAUGUUGAAAAUGAAAUCAGCAUAGAUAGAAAUCUUGCAGAGUUUUGACUGCAUGGAAUUCCUGAAUGAUUCAAAGUGUUGACUAGUGUUGAGAAUUCACUUUUUAUGUGAAUGGAAACAGUACAAUUUCACAUGUGGAUUACAUUAAAAAAUUUCCAAGAUGAAUAGCUCACGAUGUAGGUGACAUUUUUCUUUGAGUUAACGUAUUCACCAGUGUUAGAACCUAAUUUUCUUAAGGAAAGCAGCUUUGAAUGUAAAGAACAUCACCUGGGAAGAACGACUCUUGCUUUGUAACUCCUCUAUGAGCCUGUGCAUUUUUCAUCUACAUCUCCUCCAGAAACACUGACUACAGUCAAAGAGUCUUGACACUCUCCAUGAAUCAACAGUGUUCCAUGGGACCAAGAAUAAGCCACUCGGGUUGGAGAGAUGGCUCAGCCAUUAAAGGCUAGGCUCACAACCAAAAAUAUAAGAAUAGGCCACUCAAUUUUAUAGAGUUGAGAGAGCAUUGAGCAGAGUAUUUUGUUGUUGUUCCUAGAAUUUCUUUUUUAGUUUGCUAUAGCACGCUAUAAGUAAUAGAACACUUUCUAGCAAAUUUUCCAAGAGCCAGAAUUACUUAUCAAAUGACGCAAGAGUACAUCAAAUCCCACCGAGUGUUUGAGCUUGUGGACACCGUGCCCAAUACAGGUAACGUUGCUUCCAGACAAACUGACCAUCUAAGGGAUAAUUUCACACAUUUAGUGCAACUGGAGACAAUUUGGAAAGUGGUGAGAGCAGAGGGGUAAUUCUUUAAGCAGACAUGCUAUCCUAUAAACGUGAACUCCUGGAAACUAGCCACCAGCGUAUUUAAGGGCCGAGUGUUCUGCUUCAGUGUGUGUGAACGCAACUGUACAUCUGGGAAAUGAGUUGUAGAACGGAAAGUGUUCUCCAGCGCAAGCUACAGACAGAGCAGUUGCAGCAUUUCUUUGGGCUGAUGCCAACUUAAUUCUUCUUAGUGCAAUUAGAGUGAAGAGUCUGUUUCUCUGAGACAAUAAGAUAAGAAUCAUGUUGGUUUACUACACCUUGUUUGGUUUUAUGAAUCAGGACAAGAAAAAAAAGCCCAAUAACUUUUUGUAUUCAGUUACCGAGUAAAGUAUUCUUCGUCGUUAUUUGCCUGCAAAUGUGACCUGCUGUGUAGCUAAGCAAUCAAAAAUGUGUGGAUUUUACAUCACUGUUCAAAAGACACAUAGGCGUUGCAGUUAAAUCCCAGAAUCUUACUUAGACAUACAAAGUGACGCUGAUGGAGCCGAUGAUGAGGAGAUCAAACUUGAAGAUUAGUUCGUCUCAGAAAGCUUUAAAGGUAAACACUUACGUUGCCUCUUACCACAUAUGUUUGGCUACUGGGAUUUUCAAGCUCUCUCCCAUCUCCCUGGUAUACUUCCUUUCAGUACAACGCACAGGAAAAUGUUCCUGGUAAUCGAAUUCCUCUUUUUAAAUCACCAUACUUAUUUUAACUUCAUCAACACAUUUGGCUAUUUUGAAGGCAGUUAUGUUUAAGUUGUAACAUAGUGCAUAUUUACGAGGUAAUAUAGGAAAAGUGAGGCUAUAUGUCAAAACGUCUGCCCUUGGCAAAUUAAUUGGCAAAAUUACAGCAUCUCAAAGCCCUCAGUGACCAAUUGGUUUUUAAGUCUGUAGUGGGAUUUUUCAAAAACUGAGAACAUUUUCACAUUCAAGAGAGACUCUGGUCCUGUGCUAGCAAUGUUGCGGCUUGCCUGAAGCUUUGGUACUGAAAAAUGCAAAAUGAUUUCUAUCAUCUCACACUUCCUUCUUUCUUCCAGGUUUGGCAUCCUUUGGCAUUG
rnacentral:sRNA from 1 species